CUAGCCCCGAAUCAAGGCCAGCAGUUUGCUGAAGUUGAUGGUUUAAAGCAGGAACUUAAAGAAUUAUCUCUCUAUGGUCUGUGGGCCAUUUCAGAACUUUGGAAAUGUAAUGGUUAAUUCAUUAGAAAGAAGCAGUA
ensembl:snoRNA